rnacentral:RNase_P_RNA from 1 species
GGAGUCGGCCAGACAACCGCUGUCCGCAAGGAUGGAGGAAAGUCCGGGCUCCCAGGGCAAGGCGCCAGGUAACGCCUGGGGGACGUGAGUCCACGGAAAGUGCAACAGAAAGCAAACCGCCGAACUCCCGCAAGGGGGUGGUAAGGGUGAAAUGGUGCGGUAAGAGCGCACCGCGCCGGUGGCAACACUCGGUGGCACGGCAAACCCCGCCUGGAGCAAGACCAAAUAGGGAAGCACGCUGGCCAAGCAAUUGGCCGGCACGUAUGGCCCAUACAGGCUUCCGGGUAGGUCGCUCGAGGUGCGCGGCGACGCGCACCCCAGAUGAAUGGUUGUCCUCGACAAAACCCGGCUUAUCGGCCGACUCCUUUU